CGCACCUUGCACCCUUUGGUAUUCCGAAGGGUAUGCCUGUUUGAGUGUCAUGAAGCCUCAUCCUAAUCGUUUUCUGAACGAUCUGUGAUGGAUUGGGCGUUGCCUCUUGGCUCGCCUUAAAGACCUAAGUGGUCUGGAUGUAAUACGUUCCGUCCGGACCGGCUUCUUAACUAUAUUUCACAUCUGACCUCAAAUCAGGUAGGGCUACCCGCUGAACUUAA
rnacentral:misc_RNA from 1 species